rnacentral:rRNA from 1 species
GACGAACCGUACAAACGUUAUUCGGAAUCACUGGGCGUAAAGGGCGCGUAGGCGGUGUGUCAAGUCAGGCGUGAAAGCCCCGGGCUCAACCUGGGAACAGCGCUUGAGACUGGCACGCUCGAGUUCGGGAGAGGAUGGUGGAAUUCCCAGUGUAGAGGUGAAAUUCGUAGAUAUUGGGAAGAACACCGAUGGCGAAGGCAGCCAUCUGGACCGACACUGACGCUGAGGCGCGAAAGCGUGGGGAGCAAACAGG